CAACUGUUGGCCUCAAAUAAAAUAAUUCUUUAAAAAAAAUUAGAUUAAAAAAAAGUUGAGAGACAUGGAUCUGGCCCCAACAUGGCAAAAAUGGUUAAACCACACUGACCAGACUUCUGCAAGUCUCCCCUCGCCCCUUCCCUUAUAACCAUGACCUGACUCUGCAAAUCUACAACCUGAAAGGAAGUUGCAUUUGAAGUUCCAUAAGGUGAAAAGUAGGGCACCAAAUAGAGUGAGAAAUCAAAGGAGGCAAAAUUUAAGGAGACAGUCUGUCUCGGUUUUGCCCAAAGGUGAACAAAUUAUUAUUCUUAACCGUAGAAAACAUGGCUAUAAACUGUACUUGAAAAAAGGUGAAAGGAAUAGAAAAGUAUAUUGAGUUUGGUUAAAAUUUAAAAGAAGUUUUUAAAAAAUUAGUUUGUCCACAUAAUUUCAGUGAGUAGAAAAGACCCGGAAAUCAAUUGUUUUAAGUUUACCUGUGAUCUUUAGUGAUGACUUAGCCAUAUUGAACUUAUCUCUUCCUCAUGUUUAAAAGGUAAAUAAAAAGUAAAUGAUUAGACCUUUUGUAGUCAGUUGUUUUUCAGAGAAUUGCUAGUCAAUGCAGAGAAUCACGUCCACCUCGGGGCGGUUUCUGUCAUCAACUUUUGAUCCCUUCAAAGCAAGGUGAGUGAGUGGUACCCUUCAGACGAGCACAUGAAAGGUGAAAUCUUUUCUAGAGCGUUCCAUGGUGUGCUUGCGGGAGCCCCGGGGCACAGAGAUCUGCAGAAGAGCUAUGUGGGAAGGUCACACUGUGGCUACUGGUCAUGUAACUUACUGUACCUUAUUAGAUUGGUGCAUUUCUUUAUCCAUCAUGUGACCAAUCUGGGUUGGAAUGGACCCUUUAAAGAAUGAGUCAACACGGAAGAUUCUGCGGACCCAUUUAUUGUCGUGUAUUGAGUAUCCUCUGGAGACACGUUCAUUAACUUCGGAACUAUUUCUUGGAUAUCACACUGUGCUAAGGUGCUAUGGAAACAUAGAUGAAAGAUGUCGUUCUUAACCAGAUCCUCACUGCUGGGUCUGAUUCCGCAGUUCUCUGGCAGCUAGAGUGAGCACAUGAGCCACGUGUAAGCCGCGACUCCUGCCCUCCGCUGCAGUAAGUCCCUGGGAUGAAGGAUUCUCAGAGGACGGCGGUGUCUAUGCCUCAUUCAGCUUUGCAUCUCCAGCAUCUGCCUUCCUGCCCAGCACGGAGUGACUGGGUGCUCUGACCGGCCCCACUCAAGGCAGAGCCCUGUUCUAGACGCCGAUGUCUGCCUGACAAUGCUCAGACACAGAACCCUCUCUACCACUCUGGCAGCCCAUCCCGUUGCCGAAUCGCUCUAGCUGCAAUCACGUUUUUCCUUUAUAUCGAGUCAACCUCUGCCUGCUCCGAAACCUCACCAACAGACCCAGAUUCUGCCCUCAGGAGCUAUGCAGACUAAAUCAGCCGCACAGACUAAACCCUGACCUGUUCGUUGGACGUUAGGUAUUUAGUGACGUCUACACUGUUUCCUGGUCUGCUUCUCUGGCCUCCAUUGUCCCUGUUCCAUCAGUUGCUUCUAGAGUUCUCACUUUGCUUCUCGUGAGUCUUGCUUCUCCUGUAGCAGUUGCUAUGCAGGAUUGGGGGAAGGUCCUCCUUCCUACCAUUGCCCAGAGUACUUUGCGUCUGGCAUUUUAAGCUCUCUUCCCAAGAUGCUCACCACCAGCGGAAGUAUAGAACAGCUCAGGACUGAGGACACAGCUGUUCCUGCCAGCAGAGACUCUCCAAGUCGACUUUGACCCAUUACUCAACAGAACGUUCAACUUUAACUGACAGACAUCCCAGUUGACAAUGUUCCUUCAAGAACCCCAUGAAGUAGGAAUCAUCACCAUCAUUUUGCAGAUGGAGAAACUGAGACACAGCUAGUUGAUGGAUAACGAGUUCGAAAGACCUCUCGGCAUAUCAUCGUGGUCAUGAGAAGAAAAAUGGAGGUUGAUACAACUUUACACCUGAUGUUCUGAAGACCGUCAAUCUGAAGAGAGAAUUUUAGUGGCAAAAUCCAAAAGUAGACUUCUAUAUUUUUGGUCAGCAUUUUUAUUCACGGUUUAGAGGAAAAUCUUAGGCCUUAGCCAAGACAGCAUACACACACGAAGUGGACAGGCACAGACAAGAGUGGAUGACUGAAGUGGAGGAUCUCAAAACAUUGUAACAGGCUGGACCACUGGACCGAACUGGACAAGAGGCAAUUUAUUAGGGAUGAAUACAAAGCCCAUCACCCCAAAGUGCUCACCAGUUCUUCCUGAGUCAAGGGGUGACCUGGUGCAGCCUCGGGAAGACACUUAUAGAGUAGUGCUUAACAACAGAAAUAUAAUGUGAACUUUAUGUAAUAUAAAAUUUUCUAUUAGCCACAUUUCUAAAAGAAUGAAAAACCCUCAGGUGAAUUUUAAUAAUAUAUUGUUUUUAAUGCUAUAUUUUACUGAAUACUCGAAAUACUACUAAACAUGUGAUUGAUGUAAAAACUGAGAUGUUUUAUGUUUUUUGCACUAAAUUUUGAAAACCCAGUGUGCAUUUCACACUUGAUAGCACCUCUCAAUUAGGCUAGCCACAUACGGAGUGCUCAGCAGCCCGGUGUGGCUCCCAUCCUGAACGGUGUGGCUUUAGUGUCUGCACUGCCUCUCAGCUCUUCAGACAUUACCCUCUCAUCAUGCCAUUCUUGGGCUGGCUGCACUAAAGUUAAACCACUCAAGCAUUUCACUUUAUUUUUUUAAUGAAAAAAGUCUGGGCUCCUUAAUCAGUACAUAGCUGUAAUGGUGCUCACCCCUUGAUUAUGCUCGCUGGGGCAAUUUGGUGACUGAAAUACUUGAUGUAUUUUUUUAAAGUGA